rnacentral:RNase_P_RNA from 1 species
GUAGUCGGUCGGGUGACCGCUGUGGACACGCUACCCUUAAGUAGCGUGGUCAUAGAGGAAAGUCCGAACUCCAGAGAGCGAUGCGCCGGGUAACACCCGGUCAGGGUGACCUGAAGGAAAGUGGCACAGAAAAUAUACCGCUCGUGAAAAUGAGUAAGGGUGAAAAGGUGUGGUAAGAGCGCACCGC